GGAUCAAUAUUUCGGUCAUGCCGUUGGUAUGCACUGUUAUCAUUGAUUUCUCACCUUCUAAAGAACCGUAAUGCCAUUAAUUUGGUGUUACGGGGAAUUAGGACUGUUACCUUGAAAAAAUUAGAGUGUUUAAAGCAGGCUCACGCUUGAAUACAUUAGCAUGGAAUAAUGAAAUAGGACAUCCGAUUCUAUUUUGUUGGUUUCCAGGAUCGAUGUA
rnacentral:rRNA from 1 species